UUGAACAAAGACUGCAUUCUUCUGAUUGCAUAGGCAUACUUUAAAGCUCACAUUCAGUUCUUACCACAGCCACCCAAGCAAUCUGGAAUCCCACACAAACGUGCCUUCUAGACAGGAAGUUUUUAUGAACAUUUUGGAGAAGACAACAAAAACAAGAACAAAAAUGAGAACGGCUGGCUGAGUCUGAAUCUCAAAAAUCUCAAGCUUCUCAUGCAUUUUGAGAACUUGUUAAACAAUAUGAAUAUUCUCCUUGAUGGAAUUUAAAAAGCAUGUGGUUCGAGUCAUCAUUGGGAAAACAUGACAAGGAUUGUGGAACACACAUGAAUUCCAACUUGCUGGGAACCCGCACAUUUUCUUUGAAGAAUUGCUAAAAUCAACCAUCAAGAACAGUAAACGCCAAUACUUUGCCUUGAGAGGAAUUGGGGGUUUGAGCUAAAAUAUCUAAAGGACUUGAAAUCUGUAAUUAAACACAGACUUGGUCUUAAGUUUCCUAAUCCUCUCUUUAUCAUCAACAUUCUGCAAUAACUUCUUUCUAAACUUCCCUGCCUCAGUUUACUAGUUCAGCUCUCUGAUACAAUAAUCUCCACAAACAAUCAUUUUUGCUCAGUUGCUUUUCAUUCAUUUAUGGUUUUUCCAGUUUUAGUCUUAACUGGAAUGAAUGAACAUAUGACUUUAA